rnacentral:rRNA from 1 species
UGAAGUCAACUGAGACUACCCGCUGAACUUA